ACGCGUGGAACCUUACCAGGUCUUGACAUCCUCUGACAACUCUGGAGACAGAGCGUUCCCCUUCGGGGGACAGAGUGACAGGUGGUGCAUGGUUGUCGUCAGCUCGUGUCGUGAGAUGUUGGGUUAAGUCCCGCAACGAGCGCAACCCUUGUCCUUAGUUGCCAGCAUUCAGUUGGGCACUCUAAGGAGACUGCCGGUGACAAACCGGAGGAAGGUGGGGAUGACGUCAAAUCAUCAUGCCCCUUAUGACCUGGGCUACACACGUGCUACAAUGGAUAGAACAAAGGGCAGCGAAGCCGCGAGGUCAAGCAAAUCCCAUAAAUCUAUUCUCAGUUCGGAUUGUAGGCUGCAACUCGCCUACAUGAAGCCGGAAUCGCUAGUAAUCGCGGAUCAGCAUGCCGCGGUGAAUACGUUCCCGGGCCUUGCACACACUGCCCGU
rnacentral:rRNA from 1 species